AACAUCCUUAAAUAUGGUGACAACCACAAGAGAACUAUUUAUGGAAGAAGCUCCGGAAAUGUUUUGAGGUCCGUGCUGACGAUAACCAAGGAAACAAGUUCACAACGCUGGAAGGUGUUGAGUUUCAGUGGAGCAUUGAAAACUUGGCGCAGUCUCAGUCUGCCAACCAGGUGCUCCGGUUCAUCACAUUCAUUGACUCACCAUAUGAAACUCCAACAACUGUUGCCAAGUUUGAUUCUCUUGGACUAAGAGGCCACAAAGUGUUGAUUGAAGGAGUUAAAACUGGAGCUGCUAAAGUAUCCGUUCAGUUACCUCAUCCAGAAUAUAACAAGGUGCCCAAGAUAGAAGUGGUGCUUACCGUGGUGGCCAACCUGCUCUUGGACCCGCCGGACACUCACAUCCUGGCUGGUGACACUGUCAAGUUCCGGCUC